CUUCUUUUUCACCGGAGCUUGCUCCACCGGAAAAAGAGGAGUGGCGAACGGGUGAGUAACACGUGGGUAACCUGCCCAUCAGAAGGGGAUAACACUUGGAAACAGGUGCUAAUACCGUAUAACAAUCAAAACCGCAUGGUUUUGAUUUGAAAGGCGCUUUCGGGUGUCGCUGAUGGAUGGACCCGCGGUGCAUUAGCUAGUUGGUGAGGUAACGGCUCACCAAGGCCACGAUGCAUAGCCGACCUGAGAGGGUGAUCGGCCACAUUGGGACUGAGACACGGCCCAAACUCCUACGGGAGGCAGCAGUAGGGAAUCUUCGGCAAUGGACGAAAGUCUGACCGAGCAACGCCGCGUGAGUGAAGAAGGUUUUCGGAUCGUAAAACUCUGUUGUUAGAGAAGAACAAGGAUGAGAGUAACUGUUCAUCCCUUGACGGUAUCUAACCAGAAAGCCACGGCUAACUACGUGCCAGCAGCCGCGGUAAUACGUAGGUGGCAAGCGUUGUCCGGAUUUAUUGGGCGUAAAGCGAGCGCAGGCGGUUUCUUAAGUCUGAUGUGAAAGCCCCCGGCUCAACCGGGGAGGGUCAUUGGAAACUGGGAGACUUGAGUGCAGAAGAGGAGAGUGGAAUUCCAUGUGUAGCGGUGAAAUGCGUAGAUAUAUGGAGGAACACCAGUGGCGAAGGCGGCUCUCUGGUCUGUAACUGACGCUGAGGCUCGAAAGCGU
rnacentral:rRNA from 1 species